rfam:Glomus irregulare strain DAOM-197198 mitochondrion, complete genome.
AGGAGAGUAGUUUAAUGGUAAAAUGGUAAGCUCCAAGNUUCUUGUUGGGGUUCGAUUCCUCCCUCUCCUG